AUGAGGCGAACCGGGGGAACUGAAACAUCUAAGUACCCCGAGGAAAAGAAAUCAACCGAGAUUCCCCCAGUAGCGGCGAGCGAACGGGGAGGAGCCCAGAGCCUGAAUCAGCAUGUGUGUUAGUGGAAGCGUCUGGAAAGGCGCGCGAUACAGGGUGACAGCCCCGUACACAAAAGCGCAUGUGCUGUGAGCUCGAUGAGUAGGGCGGGACACGUGGUAUCCUGUCUGAAUAUGGGGGGACCAUCCUCCAAGGCUAAAUACUCCUGACUGACCGAUAGUGAACCAGUACCGUGAGGGAAAGGCGAAAAGAACCCCGGCGAGGGGAGUGAAAAAGAACCUGAAACCGUGUACGUACAAGCAGUGGGAGCACCCUUUGGGGUGUGACUGCGUACCUUUUGUAUAAUGGGUCAGCGACUUAUAUUCUGUAGCAAGGUUAACCGAAUAGGGGAGCCGGAGGGAAACCGAGUCUUAAUUGGGCGUUAAGUUGCAGGGUAUAGACCCGAAACCCGGUGAUCUAGCCAUGGGCAGGUUGAAGGUUGGGUAACACUAACUGGAGGACCGAACCGACUAAUGUUGAAAAAUUAGCGGAUGACCUGUGGCUGGGGGUGAAAGGCCAAUCAAACCGGGAGAUAGCUGGUUCUCCCCGAAAGCUAUUUAGGUAGCGCCUCGUGAAUUCAUCUCCGGGGGUAGAGCACUGUUUCGGCUAGGGGGCCAUCCCGGCUUACCAACCCGAUGCAAACUGCGAAUACCGGAGAAUGUUAUCACGGGAGACACACGGCGGGUGCUAACGUCCGUCGUGAAGAGGGAAACAACCCAGACCGCCAGCUAAGGUCCCAAAGUCAUGGUUAAGUGGGAAACGAUGUGGGAAGGCCCAGACAGCCAGGAUGUUGGCUUAGAAGCAGCCAUCAUUUAAAGAAAGCGUAAUAGCUCACUGGUCGAGUCGGCCUGCGCGGAAGAUGUAACGGGGCUAAACCAUG
rnacentral:rRNA from 1 species